rnacentral:lncRNA from 1 species
ACUUUUUUUUUUUUUUAAUAAGAGGAUGAUCAAGUAUCUGUGACCCUGUCUUACUACUGCUUGAAAGAGGUAUCUCAAGAAACAUAAAUUACAUUUUAGUCAUGAGUGUUACAUUAUAUUCUAAGAAUUGAUGUCACUUUGAAAUAUAGGCAGCUCUGAAGGCAAAUUAGUGGGUGACUGAUUCAUAAUGAGUAAUAAAAGAAAUCGCACAUUUGAGCUGAUUUCAACAGUGCUCCUCAGACUUUCUAAAAAAAUGUUCCUUUUACCCUUGUCAUAGACUGAUUUUGAGUUUUCUUGACUCUGAAGAAUUAACCAGAGGAGAAGUAUAAAUUCCAGAACAUUUUGCUCAGCUGAUAGCAGAAAGUGAAAUCUCCUGCAGAGGGAGGCCAGGGAAUCAGCAAAACCAUUAGUAUCAUUGUGUCCCAGGCAUUUACAGUUUAGAAACUUUCUCCAGGUGAUGAACUAGUGAACUGACCGAUGCUCUGUUCAUUGUCACAGACCACUAAAGACUAUCAAUUUCUGGACCAGUGACCUGUCUCACAAUGAAAGAGAUGCUGCCCACAAAAAAAUAAAAACAAAAAGUCAAUUUUUACUCUGGAAUGUGUCUGGACGAUCACAAUGUUUUCUUUCCAGCAUCUAAUGAGAUGCUGGUAGGAACAUAACAAAUUUUUUAGUUUGCCUGGAAGCCCUAUCACCACCACCACCUAUUUUUUAGGAAUAGCACUUUCUCUAUCUUUGGAACUACCCCAUGAUAAAUAUCUCCCCCCUUUUCCUUCUGUUUCUCACUUUUUUGCUUGCCGGACAUAUGUACACUGUAAAUAGGCAGUUCUAGUUGAGCAAUCUUGCUCUCUUGGCUUAAGUUGAUUGACCCAAGCAGGGUCCACUCAGAGUUCUCCCCUUGGAAAUUGGUGGAGAUUUCAAGUUGUGAGACUGGGGAUCAAUUGGCAGUUGAGCCUCUGAACAGCUCCUAGAAGAUGAGAAGAAGGUGAUGAGUAAAGAAGAUGCGGAGAAAAGAAACAGAACCCUGGAGGGUCCGAAUCCCAUGUUCCAGGGGAUGCUGAAGGCCACCUACAUGCCUGCCCUGUGCACUCUUCACUUGUUCACCUCUGCCCUGGAGCCCGAGGACCAGGCUAUCGUCAUUUUUCUUAGGUUGAUUGCCUUUCAUUUCUAACCCAAAGCAACUUAGUGUUUGUCAUUUCAGCUGAGGGAUAAAGAAAGGUGCUGUAUUUUUUGGACAUGAUCUUAGGUCUUCAUCAUAUUUCCUUUGUGCUGUUCAGUACUUCUCUACACUGGAUAACAUCAGCUGGUAACAUAUGUCUGCUAGUCAUUUAAAUGCAAUAGAAUUUUUAAAAAAGAUUUAUUUAUUCAUGAGAGACAGAGAGAGAGAGAGAGGCAGAGACACAGGCAGAGAGAGAAGCAGGCUCUGCAAGGGAGCCUGAUGUGGGACUCAAUCCCAGGACUCUAGGAUCAUGCCCUGGGCCGAAGGCAGGCGCUCAACUGCUGAGCCACCUGGGCAUCCCUAAAUGCAAUAGAAUUUUGAAAAAUUAAGAUUCAAUUGACAUUAUUUUAGUUUCAGGCACAUAACAUAAUGAUUUGAUGUUUGUAUGUAUGAGAAAUAAUAAAUUUCCAGAUAGUAGG